AAAAGCAAUUCAAUUCUCUCCCUAAAUUAGCAGCGAGAUAUGAAAACAAACAGAGGAUUGGUAUCUUACUUUGUGGGUAUGGUAUGACCUGGCAUUAUUUUUAAUUUUUCUUUCUAUAUGUCGACAUUCUGGAUUUUAUUUUAUUGCAUAUCCUCUGUUUCUUUUCAAAUUUAGAAAAUUUGAUUUUUCUAUAUUUGUAUAUUAUUUUAGUAUGCAUAUUAUAAGGGUUUUUCAUUGGAGGAUGCAUCUGACUAUCAUCUGUCUAUACAAUUAUAUAUGUGGUUAGUUUUUGAAUUUGGAUUUGAUUUACAGGAAUUUUAUAGAAAAAAAUACAUUUACUCUCUCUAUGAAUAUUUUUUAGAACUUAAUACACUUUUGAAUUUACACAUAUUUUCCAUCGACUUUAAUGCAUAAAGCUUUUGGAGGUUAUGGAGCACUGAAUGUCUUUGCCAGACCUAGAAUCCCAGUCCCGUAUCCAUUACUUGAUGGAGAUUUUAGUUUAGUUAUUGGUAAUUGGCACACAAGCGGUCACAAGGUGAGAAACAUAUAUGACUUUCCAAUACUUAUUUUGUUAUUUUAAUGUCAGGCUUGGUUAUUUUAAGAUCUUUUGAAUGGCUUUUCCAAAUUUUAAUUGUUUCAAUCAAGUAAUAAUUUCAUUGUCAAUAUACUCCUAAUUCCUGCUAGCUUUCUCUUCCAAUAUUUAUUUCGACUUCUCUUAAGAAUGUGAUUCAGCUGAUAAUACUGCAGCUUAAGCUGAUGUGGCUGGUGUUUUAAGCCUGUGAUUCUGCAGAGGGAAUAAAAGAACCAAUUGAGGCUGUUGCAGUUUUUGCAAAUUCUGUUGACAGAUUUUUCAAAGGCAGGCAGGGGUUUCAGCCUUCAAGCACGCAAAUUCUGCUCCAUAUUACUAUUGAGUUCAUGUGCCAUUUUUGAUCUACUCUAUGUCAUGUUAUAAUCAUUCUUUAUAUCAUAGUGUUUGGGAUACUAGACGGUAACUUUUUAGUAGGAACUCUGAUAAAAAUAUAGACAAUUUUGAUGGGUCUAAAGCUGGCUCAAGUUUGAAUCUUUGUGAUGAACUGUCAGAUUAUGUGGCAAAAGCUAAUUUAAUGGAUACAUAUUACAUAUUGUCGAUCUGAACUGACAUGACUUUCAUCAUCAGGAAUAGAAUCAAACAGCGGAAGAACUCUUGGCAGGAUGGAGUUCUGGUGACAAAUUCCCUAUUCCAAAUUCUAAUUAUGCAUACAAGUUUCAGACCAAAGAUCAGAUCAAUAUGAAAAUGGAUGGAAUAGGCUAGAAAUAAACCCCACAUGGUCAUGCAUCUCCUUUGUCGACGAAAAAGAAUUUAUUUUUUUGACUGCUGCACAUCACCCGAUUAGAGAAAUUCUGAAGAAGUAGAGAAACUAAGGGACUAUAGUCGAGCUCCAGUUUACUACUGACAUCUCGAAACAUUUUUGAGUAACUAAGGGAAUAUAGUCGAGCUCCAGUUUACUACUGACAUCGGUCAUAUAGCUGACGUCUGACGACCAUGAACCGAAAAGAGCACUUAUGAGUAUUUGGGUUUUGACUGAAUCCCAAAACAACAUGGUACGGGAACCUGGUAGAUGUAAGAGAAUUCUCUGGUGGAGGUCAGGAUCUGUAUAUACGAGUUGAUCGUGACGAGUUAGCUUGGCUGGAACAAGAAGACUGGAAAAAAAAAUAAGUUUAUGACUUCUUGGAAGAGAAAUAUAUCAGAAAUAUUUCCAAACUUUGAUACAAUGACGCGAGUUACAUUUUUACAAUUACGCGAGUUACAUUUUUUUUGUGUCUCAUGUGAUUGAAGAAUUUAAGUAACAUCUAUUAGUGUAAUAUUUAAUCUAUUAUGAUUAUCUUAAUUUCUAUAGUGGUGAUCAGCUUAAUGAAGCACUCACUACAAAUGCAAGUCGUAGUGCAGACUGCAGAGAUCUCAUAAUUGAUAGAGUUCUUGGGAUCUCAUAAUUGGGCCCCAUGGUUGGGUCUAAAUUAAUAUAUAUUUGACCUUAACUUUAUCUUAUAUUCCUGUUUUUAGUUUGUGUAAAAUUUUCCAUUAUCCAUUCUUUAGUUUGUGUAUAAUUUUGUUUGUCUUAUUUUCAAAGAGAAUAAAAAAAAUUAUGAUA